UAGGGAAUAUUGGACAAUGGGCGAAAGCCUGAUCCAGCAACGCCGCGUGCGCGAUGACGGCCUUCGGGUUGUAAAGCGCUUUUAGAGGAGAUGAGAAAGGACAGUAUCCUCAGAAUAAGCCUCGGUGAACUACGUGCCGGCAGCCGCGGUAAAACGUAGGAGGCUAGCGUUAUCCGGAUUUAUUGGGCGUAAAGCGCGUGCAGGCGGUUUGAUAAGUUGGAUGUGAAAUCUCCCGGCUUAACUGGGAGCGGUCGUUCAAAACUAUUAGACUAGAGAAUGGGAGAGGAAGGUGGAAUUCCGGGUGUAGUGGUGAAAUGCGUAGAUAUCCGGAGGAACACCAGUGGCGAAAGCGGCCUUCUAGACCAUUUCUGACGCUAAGACGCGAAAGCUAGGGUAGCAAACGG
rnacentral:rRNA from 1 species